CACUCCGGAAGGAGUGCUAAUACCGCAUGAUGCAGUUGGGUCGCAUGGCUCUGACUGCCAAAGAUUUAUCGCUCUGAGAUGGCCUCGCGUCUGAUUAGCUAGUAGGCGGGGUAACGGCCCACCUAGGCGACGAUCAGUAGCCGGACUGAGAGGUUGACCGGCCACAUUGGGACUGAGACACGGCCCAGACUCCUACGGGAGGCAGCAUG
rnacentral:rRNA from 1 species